rfam:Picea glauca, whole genome shotgun sequence.
GUAACGGUGUCUUUAGACACCACACUUUGUCUUCAAAAAAAAAAU